UUAAAAUUAUUAUUUUUCAAAAUAUUUUUUAAAAUUAUAUUUUUUUUAUUUUAAAAACAAUAUAAGAUAAUAUUAAAAACACCAUUAUUAUACAACAUUAUUAUAUAAACUACAUAAGAAAAGACCCAUCGACUUGUGCUCAAGUACCCUUAGAUAACCUCGCAGUCAUCAUCCAUUACAAAUAUAUUAAAACUACGGUACAUUACAUGAAAAAACUAGAGAGUACACACAUCAUUGAGAUGUACUGUUGAUCAGUGUUCUUCCUUGAGACCCUGGUUCUUGCUCAUGUUCUGUUUUGCCAUUAGACCCCUGAAACACAAUAUAAAACAAACCAUUAGAUCCCUGAAACACAGUAUAAAACAAAGGACAACGUUAAUUAAUCAUAGCAUACGCUUCAAAUUCCAUGAACAUGCAGAUAACUGCAGCUCAAGUCUUCAUCUUCUAUAAUUUUAUUCAAGUUUAUCGGCAAUAAAAUUAAAUUGAAGCAACAAAGAUAUUGUUGAU
rnacentral:lncRNA from 1 species